GCAAUGUGAGGUUGGAAAAUUCAAUUGAUUGUUGUAAGUUCCCACUUUUAGUUGAUGUUGAAUUUGCUUUGUUCAAAGUGUAUAUGACAAUUCAUGCUGUCUAAUUGUUCUAGUUGAGAGUUGAGUAGUACCUUUCUUGAGAAUUUAGAUUGAUUGUUACGGUUGACUGUUGUUUUCACUACUUUGGUUAGUUGUGUUCUAUUGUGUUCAAGAGUCAGAAUGGUGAUCAAAUUUGGCUAUCAAAUUUUGAAUAUGAUUUUGCCAUCAAUACAUGGAUUUAAUGUGCAUAUCCAUUGACGACAUUAUUAAAAAUUUGAUAUUCAAAUUUGAUUACAACAAUAUUAUAUACCUAAAAAAGGUGUCUCAAUAAUGAAAUUUAUGGACCAAAUUUGUUUUUGA